rnacentral:rRNA from 1 species
GGGGAAUUGUUCGCAAUGGGCGCAAGCCUGACGACGCAACGCCGCGUGGGGGAUGAAGGUCUUCGGAUUGUAAACCCCUGUUGGGUGGGACGAACACUUUCGUGGUGAAUAUCCACGAGGGCUGACGGUACCACCUGAGGAAGCCCCGGCCAACUCCGUGCCCGCAGCCGCGGUAAUACGUAGGGUGCAAGCGUUAAUCGGAAUUACUGGGCGUAAAGCGUACGCAGGCGGCUUUGCAAGACAGGUGUGAAAUCCCCGGGCCUAACCUGGGAACUGCAUUUGUGACUGCAUGGCUAGAGUUUGUCAGAGGGGGGUGGAAUUCCACGUGUAGCAGUGAAAUGCGUAGAUAUGUGGAGGAACACCGAUGGCGAAGGCAGCCCCCUGGGAUGUGACUGACGCUCAUGUACGAAAGCGUGGGGAGCAAA